UGCAGUAUGAUGGGUAUCUUUCACACAGCCCUGUUCAUCAGACUUGCCUGCCAAUUUUUUAUUAGAAGGAUGUAAUCACCAUGUCGUUAGUCCCUGCUCUCUUGGGAUCAGAAGGAUGCAGCAGGUGGAAAAUUAAAGGACCACAGGGGGACCUGGGGUAGCAACAGCUAAAAGCCUGGAAGUUUCACCAAUCAAGUUAGUAAAAGGCUGGCAGAUCCCUUUCAGUGGGGUAAGGAUUGAUUUCGAAAUUUCCCAUGCUGGACUCCUGGCUGGAUGACACCAUGGUAUUGCUGGC
rnacentral:lncRNA from 1 species